rnacentral:rRNA from 1 species
CCUACGGGAGGCUGCAGUGGGGAAUAUUGGACAAUGGGCGAAAGCCUGAUCCAGCCAUGCCGCGUGUGUGAAGAAGGCCUUCGGGUUGUAAAGCACUUUCAGUGGGGAAGAAAGCCUUGGGGCUAAUACCCUCGAGGAAGGACAUCACCCACAGAAGAAGCACCGGCUAACUCCGUGCAGCAGCCGCGGUAAUACGGAGGGUGCGAGCGUUAAUCGGAAUUACUGGGCGUAAAGCGCGCGUAGGCGGUCUGAUAAGCCGGUUGUGAAAGCCCCGGGCUCAACCUGGGAACGGCAUCCGGAACUGUCAGGCUAGAGUGCAGGAGAGGAAGGUAGAAUUCCCGGUGUAGCGGUGAAAUGCGUAGAGAUCGGGAGGAAUACCAGUGGCGAAGGCGGCCUUCUGGACUGACACUGACGCUGAGGUGCGAAAGCGUGGGUAGCAAACAGGAUUAGAUACCCCGGUAGUC